rnacentral:rRNA from 1 species
CCUACGGGCGGCAGCAGUGGGGAAUAUUGGACAAUGGGGGGAACCCUGAUCCAGCCAUGCCGCGUGUGUGAAGAAGGCCCUCGGGUUGUAAAGCACUUUCAGUGAGGAAGAACGCCUGGUGGUUAAUACCCAUCAGGAAAGACAUCACUCACAGAAGAAGCACCGGCUAACUCCGUGCCAGCAGCCGCGGUAAUACGGAGGGUGCGAGCGUUAAUCGGAAUUACUGGGCGUAAAGCGCGCGUAGGUGGCUUGAUAAGCCGGUUGUGAAAGCCCCGGGCUCAACCUGGGAACGGCAUCCGGAACUGUCAAGCUAGAGUGCAGGAGAGGAAGGUAGAAUUCCCGGUGUAGCGGUGAAAUGCGUAGAGAUCGGGAGGAAUACCAGUGGCGAAGGCGGCCUUCUGGACUGACACUGACACUGAGGUGCGAAAGCGUGGGUAGCAAACAGGAUUAGAUACCUUGGUAGUC